AAAGAAUAAAAGAACAAGAAACGACUGAACAAAGGAAAAACGAUCAAGAAACGACACUAUGCUGGACUGAGAAACACAUCACUAUCGUUGGUUCCGAAUAGAGAAAAGCACGACAGUAACCGGAAUCGGGCCAAUUUAGUCGCCAUAUUCCUGUGAUUUGAACUGUAGAAUAGGAUCGACCGUCACGUCAACGGAAAACAAUUUCAGAAAGGUAAUCAGUUAAUCGCUCUUUUAUUGACGAUCACAUCUCCAUUGUCAGUUGAUUCAAUCCUCAGCCCAAACCGAAGGUUAGUGCACACCAGCAGCGCCUUAUUAGAAUGUCUCCCCUGAUUUCCCUACCCAACGACCAAUUUGCAUACGUACCCAGUCAGAUUAAACGGCACCAUGGCAACGAGGUCCCUCUCUGAAACGGAGAGCACCCAUAAGCCUGACCGAAGGCGGGGCUUCUUCUCACUAAAAGACGCCGUAGAGUUGUAGCCACAAGGGCGUAGCACUGAUGAUGUCGCAUUGGCAUUAGGGUUCGCAGUGCAUGGCUCCAGAGAGGGCAAGCGGUUGUUGAGGUGGAGCUCCAUAUCGGAUGAAGGGGAAGAGAGAGAGAGAAGAGAGAAAGAAAAGUAAAAUAUUGAUGACCGAGGAUGAUGAGAAAGAUAAAAAAGAUUACGCCAUUGAAGCACUGAGGUCUGCAGAGGAGGCGCUGAGACGAAGGCGCCAUGAUUACUGAGGAGAAAGUUGAAGCGUGCUUUCUUUGAGAGAGAGAGAGGAACAAAAAAUUUAGGAGAGGGAGUGAGGGAGGGAGGGAGCUAUAGGAAUUGACAGAAAGCGGUUCUUAAAUUGAUUCUUGGAGGAACAGGUAAUUGAGGUGGUUUUCCGUCCAUGAAACAACUUCAAACAUUUUCUUUAGGUGGUUUUUAGUUGUGAAAGUUGAAACGGCUUCUUGAAAGCAACUGUCGCGAA
rnacentral:lncRNA from 1 species